GUUAGGAAUAUUGGACAAUGGGCGCAAGCCUGAUCCAGCCAUGCCGCGUGAACGAUGAAGGCCUUCGGGUUGUAAAGUUCUUUAGCCGAUGAUUAUAAUGACUGUAGUCGGAAAAUAAGCCCCGGCUAACUUCGUGCCAGCAGCCGCGGUAAUACGAAGGGGGCGAGCGUUAUUCGGAAUCACUGGGCGUAAAUCGUCCGUAGGCGGUCUCGUAAGUUAGGAGUGAAAGCCCAGGGCUCAACCUUGGAAUUGCUCUUAAUACUGCAAGGCUAGAAUCUCGGAGAGGAUAGCGGAAUUUCCAGUGUAGCAGUGAAAUGCGUAGAUAUUGGAAGGAACACCAGUGGCGUAAGCGGCUAUCUGGACGAGUAUUGACGCUGAGGCACGAAAGCGUGGGGAUCAAACAGGAUUAGAAACCCGAGUAGUCC
rnacentral:rRNA from 1 species